ACCUUUGAGAAGAGAGAGCUAAGCUCCCAGGACUGUUGAAGAGAAGCACUGAGGCUGAAUAUGCACAUUUCAUACAUAGCCUAAUUUUAAUCAACCCCCAAGAGAACGCCUAUGGAAUGGAAUCUGGAAGGAAAGUUGCCAUGACCAGGGAAUAGCAGAAUCUGGGAGAGAGUGUAGUUUGGAACAUACCACACAAAAACCGUGAUGGUGCUUGCCAGCAGAAACAAGAGAGCCAUAGAGAAACAUCCACAGAACAAGGAAGGAACACACACGGACUCAUAUAUGCUAAAAAAUGAACCUGUAAAAAUUCACAGCACCUGUGAUGGGGUUACGGUCACACAAGCAUCUUGUGGCCAAAUCCCGGUUUCCAUUUGAAUCCAGACAAGCAAUCAGAAAGGCAGGACUUUCCCUAACGUGCUGCAGGAUUCCCUUUAUGUAUACUCCGGAUGAUUCUGGAGACAAGACAACAUCUCUUCAACAGGCCUGCCUUCGUAGCAGAUCUGGUACACCGCCGUGAACAAUGGAAACUUGUCCAGCAGUCCCUUCGGUUUGAGGAUGCCAUACACCUCGGCGGAAGUCUGUGGUCCUUGCAGCUUCUGCCCGUUCAGCAUCUCCUUCUCCAGUUCUUCAAUGGUCUUUCCGGUCGCCGCAAAGGCCUCAGCUACCUUGCGGUUCCGGCCCGCGUAGCAGGUAGUGAUCAGGUCGGCCACGCCGCAGCUCUCCAGGAAGGUGGCUUUGGACACGUGGCCCUUGCAGAAGAUCCUGGCGAAGGUGAUCAUUUCCAUGAGCCCCAGGCGGAUGACGGCAGCUUUGGUGUUGUCGCCGCAGUGGAGGCCGUCGCAGAACCCGGCUCCCACGGCCACAAUGUUCUUCAGAGCGCCACAAAGUUCAACAGCGUCUGCCUCAGCAACCACCUUAAUUCGAAAAUUUGGAGUCUGAAGAAGUUCUUUGAAGAGGAGGCCGUGCUCCAUUACCUUGCUGCCGAUGGUGGUCUCACAGAACUUCUCGGCAGCCACC
ensembl:lncRNA